AAUGGACGGAAAUCUGAUCCAGCCAUGCCGCGUGCAGGAAGACGGCCCUAUGGGUUGUAAACUGCUUUUGUAUGGGAGCAAUAAGGUCUACGUGUAGACCGAUGAGAGUACCAUACGAAUAAGCACCGGCUAACUCCGUGCCAGCAGCCGCGGUAAUACGGAGGGUGCAAGCGUUAUCCGGAUUUAUUGGGUUUAAAGGGUGCGUAGGCGGGAUAAUAAGUCAGUUGUGAAAGUUUGCAGCUUAACUGUAAAAUUGCCGUUAAAACUGUUAUUCUUGAGAGUAGAUAAGGUAGGCGGAAUGUGUUGUGUAGCGGUGAAAUGCAUAGAUAUAACACAGAACCCCGAUUGCGAAGGCAGCUUACCGGGCUACAUCUGACGCUGAUGCACGAAAGCGUGGGGAUCAAA
rnacentral:rRNA from 1 species